GGAGAGGUUCCCAAAGCGGCCUAAUGGGGUCCGGAAACUCGCCGGACGGGCUCUGCCCACGCAGGUUCGAAUCCUGCCCUCUCCGC
rnacentral:tRNA from 2 species